GUAUGCAUGCAGAGAUUUCAAAAUUUUUUAAUACACAGUGAAAAAAAAUUUCAAAACUAUUUCAACAUCGUUCUAGAAUAAUCAUGCAACAUAACGUAUUAACAUUAUACUAGGACAAUCUUAUAUCAGAAUGAUAUUAAAAUAAAUUUUUAAUUAGAUCUAAUCUAAUCAAGGAUGCAUAUAGAGAUCAUAUCUAAACAUAAAACAAGGCAUCAUCAUAUGUACAAGAUUAAGAUACAAGUAAAAAUAAAAAUCUAAUUUUUAACUUUGCACAGAUAGAUCUUCACCGCAAUUCGAUGAUCUAUGAAUAUCUUCAUGGUCCAUUGAAGCUACGAUCCGAUGAUCUAUGGAUGUCUUCAAGAUCUUUUUGAAGCCGCACAAGUGACCAACCUCUACAAGUAUUCAUACGAGACUGAUCUAAUCAGGAGAUCCCGAUCUCAUCGAGAUGCUAGCUUCAUUGUAGAGAUCGCUCCUUGGAUUGUCGAAUUUUUUAUCUCUUUGAUUCUCUUCUCAAGACAAUCAAAGAGAUCUAUAAGAGGAUCAAAAAAUUAGAUCUAAUCUAAUUUUUUUUUCUUUCUCUUCUC
rnacentral:lncRNA from 1 species